GAUGAACGCUGACAGAAUGCUUAACACAUGCAAGUCCACUUGAAUUUGGGUUUUUAACUUAGGUUUGGGUGGCGGACGGGUGAGUAACGCGUAAAGAACUUGCCUCACAGCUAGGGACAACAUUUGGAAACGAAUGCUAAUACCUAAUAUUAUGAUAAUAGGGCAUCCUAUAAUUAUGAAAGCUAUAAGCGCUGUGAGAGAGCUUUGCGUCCCAUUAGCUAGUUGGAGAGGUAACGGCUCACCAAGGCGAUGAUGGGUAGCCGGCCUGAGAGGGUGAUCGGCCACAAGGGGACUGAGACACGGCCCUUACUCCUACGGGAGGCAGCAGUGGGGAAUAUUGGACAAUGGACCGAGAGUCUGAUCCAGCAAUUCUGUGUGCACGAUGAAGUUUUUCGGAAUGUAAAGUGCCUUCAGUUGGGAAGAAACAAAUGACGGUACCAACAGAAGAAGUGACGGCUAAAUACGUG
rnacentral:rRNA from 1 species